rnacentral:lncRNA from 1 species
GCCCCCGGCGCGCCUGGCGCUGUCUGGCCGGUCGCUUGGCCCGGGUGGAAGCUAUGAGCGCGCCGCCAGCGGGGCUCCUCGGAGGCGGCGGGGCAGGCCCGAGCUGGGCUCCUGUGGCCGGGGUGGGAGGAGAAGAGGCCGCGCGGCACGGUCAUAGUGGUAGGAAGCAAAUGAUUUCAAAGCCCAGAUGAUGACAGAGACCCAUCUUGGAAGGGGCUUGGAUCCCUGAGUCACUGCUUGGAGGAGAGCUGCCUGAGAUGGCUUCCUGAUCAUGAACAUCCACGUUGGACUUUGCCUGAGCAAGGAAUAAACAUCCUAUCUUAAGACAAUGUGAUUUGGAGUUUUUGGCAUAUGACCAGCUUCAAUUACGCUGCAUAAUUUACAUGUCUUUUCCCUCUUUCCCAGGUAACUCAUAUGCCUCCCAGAUGUUUAUAUUUGGAAAGAGGGAAGAAGACCCAAAUAAUAACUGAGAUCAAAUUUCUCACCAACUCACUGGGACUCUGAGAGAUGCAUUUCAUUUGAUUUAAAGAAAAUAAAUUACUUUGAAACUAGACUUGA